AUUCUACAGAAUUUGCAGUAGAAUAUCACAGUUUAUCUGCACUGUUUAGAAAUACCUUGGUUCAGAACAACUACCUUUGGAGAUAAAGACAGUAAUGUGAGGUCAGAAGAUCUUUCCACUAAGUGCAUUCCAUGGCAAAGACUGGUGUUUAACUUGACUAACAGCAGCAAACAGAAGGCAGUCAAGACUGGCCAGGAGAUGUGUGGUGCAAUCUGUGUUCUGAAACCAAGCCAAGAAACAGAACGUUAAUCUUUAAGUUAAGGAGCAACUGUUGACCGUUGGCUACUGAUGAUCUACUGUGUUAACCAGUUUCCUAGUUUUUCUCCAGAUGAAGGAAGAAAAAUAAUGAACCUGAGACGUCCAAGGAGCAAAACUGCCGGAAUUCACCGUAUUUGUUUACAUGAGCUUCAAUGCUGUGAGAGAAUAGAUGUUGAAGUCCUCUCAUUCAUAAAUCUGCCUUUUUGGGGGAGUUUCUAAAUUCCUUAAGCUUAAACAAUUUAAUUUAUCAUAAGAGUUUUAAAUAUAUUAUAAAUACUUAAUAUGAGGUUUUCAACUUUGAAAGCUUUAUUUUGACAGUAUAAAUAAAGCAUGAAGGUGACCAUGUUAAACUCUUUUC
rnacentral:lncRNA from 1 species